CAGGUCUGGCAGCCCAGAAUGGAUUCAGAGCAGGCUUUGGAGCCAGUGGGAAGCCUCAGAAGCCAGGAUAUGGUAAUGGAAAUGGACUGAGG